rnacentral:rRNA from 1 species
AAUGAACGUUGGCGGCGUGGAUUAGGCAUGCAAGUCGCGCGAGAAGUUUCCUGCUUGCAGGAAAUGGACAGCGGCGAAAGGGAGAGUUACGCGUGGGUACCUGCCCUCGGGACUGGAAUAGCUGCGGGAAACUGCAGGUAAUGCCGGAUAAUGUCCCUGGACCAAAGGUGUUAGUCGCCCGAGGAUGGGCCCGCGUCCUAUUAGCUUGUUGGUGGGGUAAUGGCCUACCAAGGCUGCGAUGGGUAGCGGGCGUGAGAGCGUGGCCCGCCUCACUGGGACUGAGACACUGCCCAGACACCUACGGGUGGCUGCAGUCGAGAAUCUUCGGCAAUGGGCGAAAGCCUGACCGAGCGACGCCGCGUGUGGGAUGAAGGCCUUCGGGUUGUAAACCGCUGUCAGAGGGGAGGAAAUGCUUGGUAACCCCAAGUUUGACCUAUCCUCAGAGGAAGUCCGGGCUAAGUUCGUG